GACGAACGCUGGCGGCGUGCCUAAUACAUGCAAGUAGAACGAGUUGCGAACGGGUGAGUAACGCGUGGUAACCUGCCUCAUAGCGGGGGCUAACUAUUGGAAACGUUAGCUAAUACCGCAUACCAUCGAAUGUCCCAAGAUUGGAUUAGCUAGUUGGUGGGGUAACGGCUCACCAAGGCGACGAUCCCUAGCUGGUCUGAGAGGAUGACCAGCCACACUGGAACUGAGACACGGUCCAGACUCCUACGGGAGGCAGCAGUGGGGAAUAUUGCACAAUGGGCGCAAGCCGGAUGCAGCCAUGCCGCGUGUAGGAAGAAGGCCUUCGGGUUGUAAAGUACUUUCAGCGGGGAGGCGUUACCCGCAGAAGAAGCACCGGCUAACUCCGUGCCAGCAGCCGCGGUAAUUC
rnacentral:rRNA from 1 species